rnacentral:tRNA from 1 species
AAAAAUUUAGUUAAACUAUAACAAUAGCUUGUCAAGCUAUAAUUAAUAAAUAUUUAUUAAUUUUUA